CAGCGACCCCGAACUCUCCACUGAGGGCGCCGGCACCCACAGAGGAUGCCGACGCCCUCGGUGGAGGGGUUGAGGUUGCCA
rnacentral:pre_miRNA from 1 species